rnacentral:rRNA from 2 species
AGAAACCAACAGGGAUUGCCUCAGUAACGGCGAGUGAAGCGGCAACAGCUCAAAUUUGAAAUCUGGCUCUUUUAGGGUCCGAGUUGUAAUUUGUAGAAGAUGCUUUGGGAAUGGUUCCGGUCUAAGUUCCUUGGAACAGGACGUCAUAGAGGGUGAGAAUCCCGUAUGUGACUGGUCGCCUGCCCCGUGUAAAGCUCUUUCGACGAGUCGAGUUGUUUGGGAAUGCAGCUCAAAAUGGGUGGUAAAUUUCAUCUAAAGCUAAAUAUUGGCCAGAGACCGAUAGCGCACAAGUAGAGUGAUCGAAAGAUGAAAAGCACUUUGGAAAGAGAGUUAAACAGUACGUGAAAUUGUUGAAAGGGAAGCGCUUGCAACCAGACUUGCACGUAGUUAAUCAUCUGGUGUUCUCACCGGUGCACUUGGCUAUGUUCAGGCCAGCAUCGGUUCAGGUGGUGGGAUAAAGGCCUUGGGAAUGUAGCUUCUUUCGGGGAGUGUUAUAGCCCUCGGUGCAAUGCCGCCUACCUGGACCGAGGACCGCGCUUCGGCUAGGAUGCUGGCGUAAUGGUUGUAAGCGACC